rnacentral:rRNA from 1 species
AGUGAACGCUGGCGGCAGGCCUAACACAUGCAAGUCGAGCGGCAGCGCGUCCGACCACCCUCGGGUGGUCGGAUGGCGGCGAGCGGCGGACGGGUGAGGAAUGCAUCGGAAUCUGCCUCGUUGUGGGGGAUAACGUAGGGAAACUUACGCUAAUACCGCAUACGACCUACGGGUGAAAGUGGGGGACCUUCGGGCCUCACGCGAUGAGAUGAGCCGAUGCCGGAUUAGCUAGUUGGCGGGGUAAAGGCCCACCAAGGCGACGAUCGAUAGCUGGUCUGAGAGGAUGAUCAGCCACACUGGAACUGAGACACGGUCCAGACUCCUACGGGAGGCAGCAGUAGGGAAUAUUGGACAAUGGGCGCAAGCCUGAUCCAGCAAUGCCGCGUGCAGG